rnacentral:tmRNA from 1 species
GGGGGCGAAUCAGGUUCGACGUAGGUAAUUGGGUUUGAGUAGCGAGCAUGGGUGCCGCACCCACAACAGCGGCAAACAAAUAACUGCCAAUACAAAUUACGCACUGGCUGCUUAAUUAGACAGCCACGGUACCAGGGAGAAAGCUUCCCUAUCCCUGAGCUACCGUCACUAGGGAAGAUACCUGUAAGGGGGUGCUCGGGACCUUACAGGGAACCCGAUUCUGAGCUGGCGGGGAAAGAAGCCCGCUCCGGGGCGGCUUACCCUGCGAGAACAGUACCGGAGCUACGCUCGUAGAGACUGAAACUUGGUUGCUUGCGGACGAGGGUGCAAUUCCCUCCGCCUCCACCA